GCCGGGCCUGGCAACGCGGGCUUGUCACCCAAGUGGGGGCAUUAAGAUGGUUGGAGGUUGGAUAGGUCCAGAAGGUUGGGCUUCGAAGGGAUUAAAAAUCUGACCCGCCCGUUCCAAGAGGAGAGUUGAGUUGCGUGCCCUCCAGCGUAGGCUUGGGGCUCGCCUCUCUUAGAGCGGAGGGGACCGCGUGAGGCUGGAAACAGAGCAACGAAAACCUCCCGCUCUCUUCAGUGGAAGGAUUACGGGCCGGUGCUCAUCAGGUCCAUUAACGCCUGAUGGACCCUCCACAAUUCAACAACCAUCUUU
rnacentral:SRP_RNA from 8 species